UACAGAGGUCCCAAGCGUUGUUCGGAUUCACUGGGCGUAAAGAGUGUGUAGGCGGUGCUCUAAGUUUGGUGUGAAAUCUCCCGGCUCAACUGGGAGGGUGCGCCGAAAACUGGAGUGCUUGAGUGUGGGAGAGGAAAGCGGAAUUCCUGGUGUAGCGGUGAAAUGCGUAGAUAUCAGGAGGAACACCUGCGGUGUAGACGGCUUUCUGGACCAUUACUGACGCUGAGACACGAAAGCGUGGGUAGCAAACAGG
rnacentral:rRNA from 1 species